rnacentral:rRNA from 1 species
ACUCCUACGGGAGGCAGCAGUGGGGAAUCUUGCGCAAUGGGCGAAAGCCUGACGCAGCCAUGCCGCGUGAAUGAUGAAGGUCUUAGGAUUGUAAAAUUCUUUCACCGGGGACGAUAAUGACGGUACCCGGAGAAGAAGCCCCGGCUAACUUCGUGCCAGCAGCCGCGGUAAUACGAAGGGGGCUAGCGUUGCUCGGAAUUACUGGGGCGUAAAGGGAGCGUAGGCGGACAUUUAAGUCAGGGGUGAAAUCCCGGGGCUCAACCUCGGAAUUGCCUUUGAUACUGGGGUGUCUUGAGUAUGAGAGAGGUGUGUGGAACUCCGAGUGUAGAGGUGAAAUUCGUAGAUAUUCGGAAGAACACCAGUGGCGAAGGCGACACACUGGCUCAUUACUGACGCUGAGGCUCGAAAGCGUGGGGAGCAAACAGGAUUAGAUACCCUGGUA